rnacentral:sRNA from 1 species
AUGGCUGUCGUCAGCUCGUGUCGUGAGAUGUUGGGUUAAGUCCCGCAACGAGCGCAACCCUCAUCCUCAGUUGCCAUCGGGUUUGGCCGGGCACUCUGAGGAAACUGCCUGUGAUAAGCAGGAGGAAGGCGGGGAUGACGUCAAGUCCUCAUGGCCCUUACGGGCUGGGCUACACACGUGCUACAAUGGCGGUGACAGUGGGAAGCUAAGGGGCGACCUGGAGCAAAUCCCCAAAAGCCGUCUCAGUUCGGAUUGCACUCUGCAACUCGAGUGCAUGAAGGUGGAAUCGCUAGUAAUCGCGGAUCAGCAUGCCGCGGUGAAUACGUUCCCGGGCCUUGUACACACCGCCCGUCACACCAUGGGAGUUGGUUUUACCCGAAGGCGGUUCGCCGACCCGUAAGGGAGGCAACCGACCACGGUGAGGUCAGCGACUGGGGUGAAGUCGUAACAAGGUAGCCGUAGGGGAACCUGCGGCUGGAUCACCUCCUUUCUAAGGACGCAUUGUGAAAUAUAUUAGCGCCGUCUACGCAUCCCUUCCGAGUUCGAAAUAACAUUAGGACCAUCGUUGUAUCAGCGGUAGUAAGUCUGUUGCUCCGGUGUGCGCUUACCUUAUGGGGGCGUAGCUCAGUUGGGAGAGCGACGGCUUUGCAAGCCGUAGGUCGUCGGUUCGAACCCGUCCGCCUCCACCAAUUCUUUGUAUAUAGAGGUAAGCCUCAAGGGUUUUAAUACAACCUUUGAGACUGGCUUUUAUUUGCUAGUUUGUUCUUUAACAAUUUGGAAGAAGUAAAACGAAAUCAUAAGAUUGUGAUGAGAUUAUGAUUUCAUUGGGUAAUGAUUGUAAAAUCAAAACUAAAUCAACAAAAAAACUAAGAAGUUUUAGUAUUUAUAGUUGUUUUAAGCAAUGCUUUAGAAGAAACUAUAACGAUUGUCUCAUGCAUAAAAACAUAAGUUUAAAAGGGCUUAGGUUUUAAAGUUAUAGGAUCAAGUGAAUAAGUGCAUAUGGUGAAUGCCUUGGCGAUUACAGGCGAUGAAGGACGUGGUAGUCUGCGAAAAUUCUCGGGGAGCUGACAAACAAGCUUUGAUCCGGGAGUGUCCGAAUGGGGAAACCCGG